ensembl:lncRNA
ACUGCAUUAAUGUGAUCCCCUGACAGUGUUCUCUAGAAUAAGCAGGCCCAGCUUCCAGUCUCCCCUCAUAAAAGAGAAGCUCCAGGCCCCAAAUGAUCUUUGUGGGCCCCCACUGGACCCUCUCUUAUAGCUCCUUGUCUUUCUUGUACUGAGGACCCCAGAAUCACAAGUGUGCCUCCUCACUUAAAAGCAGAUAUGCUGGAUAAAUGCCUUACUCCUUUGUAGCAGAUUUUCUUCCAAUGCAGAAAUAAGUUUUUUCAAUUGUAUCUUCCAAUUUAGAGACUUGUCUUUUAUGUUUUUUAAUCCAAAAUUAUUUUUUAAUGUUUUCUGCUAAACACCAAAUAAAUAACUAAAUUAAUUAAUUAAUAGAAAUACAAUAGCUUUCCUGACCACCAAACAGAGAUUGGUUUAUGUUUCUGAGCUUCUGAAUAUUUGUGAUUGUUCACUGCUAGGCUGUAUCAGAACUGCAGUGUUUGAGGAAGGGAAGGCAGUUUUGCAGAACAUGCUGAAAAGUUACAUAAGACACAAUCGUGAUUACACUGUUUUAAUUCUGUUGUGUACAAAACGUAUUUACACUGACUUCCAGAAAGGUUAACUUCCAUAACAAUUCUCUAUAUGUGCCACAUGAAAAACAAAGGACUUAGUGCCCCGUUUGUGCAUUCUGGGUCAGGAAAUGCUGGAAGUGUCUAUUUCUAGAAAAUGGUAGCUGGCUGUACCUGAGCCCAAUGUUUUCCAUUGCUGCACAUCAUGAGACUCUUGGUGAACAAUUCCCUGGACAUGGGAGGUUCAAAUUUCUGAAAGGCUUAGCCAGGUCUUUUAGCAUGCUGUUUAAGAAGAAAAGAGAGAGAAGUCAGUAUGUACUGCAUCGGUACAGGACAACACAUAAAUGUCUCAAGGGCACAACUUUUCUCCUUCAGGAUGAACUGUUAGAGCAAAGGACAGCCUUCCAGCAGCCCUGUAUGUAUGGAAACACAGAGGACAUUUUGAAGGGAGAAGAAAGUAGUCAGGAAAGAAGUUCAAUUAUUUAUGGAGAGCAGAUGGAUUUAGCAAACCUGCCUGCUGAGACAGAGGCAUGACUGUGCAAAUCAGGGCAAGGCUGAUGGAGCAAAAAAGCCAGAGCAGGCCUCUCAUGGAUGAUGCUGUUCAGGACCUCCAUGCUCCUCUGUGGUACCACACCUCUCCAGGACUUUUUGGUCAGCAUUAAGAAAAUCUGCUCAGAGGGUAGUUUUCCUCUCCCUGUAUCACAGAAUUUUUCUAUUUAUAAUUGUACCUAGAAUUAUUAAAAUAUCCUUAAAUCUCUCUAGUCUAUUUAUAUGUUAUAUAAUUAGGGCUGGAGGAAUGAGGCGUACCUUACAGAUCAACAACAUACCAGUAAUGCUGAAUGUACCUUCCCUUCCAUUAUUUUAUUUAAAAGCAUCUAAGACCAGUAGGAUAACAUGCUGAAAAUAUAAAUCAUGUUGCCUUUUGAUGCAAUUGAGAAGCUAGAAAUAAGGAAGAGAAACACAUUUACAUAUUACAGUAUUAUAGACACACGUAGGAUGAAUACUCACUGUAGCUUGUAGUAAAAUUUUUAACACAGGUAGUAAUAGGACAUAAUUGCAAUUGAGGUGUUUAAGGGAGGGUGCUUCUCAUACAAACUAACCACAAGAACAAUUAGAGGUGCAAAAGUCCAUGUUCCUUAUGUGCUCUUAGUCACAGAGUAUAUUCCACUAUGAACAAACCCAGGGGUUGUGAUCUUUAGUUCUGAAAAUCAACUAACCUCAUAAUUACAGGUUUUUAUAUAACUAAAGGAGGCUUCUUUUGAUCUGCAUUUCUUUUAGACCGUUUUGCUUUAUGUCAAAAUAAUCACUGACCUGGGUUGCACAGGGGACAUCUCUGAGCAAUGUAAGUGAGAUUUUCUUGCUAUAAAACUCCCCUCUCCCUGAGGGUUGUGGAUCUUUAAUUUACAGAAGGCAAAACUGCUUGGAAGUCCCUACCAUGAUUGAAGUGGCUUGUAGUUACAAAAACUGUGUAUUCCUCCUGGCAAUAUUAGCCUUUUUUAGCUCAAGCAAGCCCCAUAAAACCUUAGAAUAUCAUUUGUUUUCAGUAGUCACAACGAAUUUCUCACUAAUGGAAAGAGUGCAAUGCAGAACAGAUUGAUUGCCAUAAAGAUGAUUUAUUGUGUUUACUGUUUCAUUAAAACAAGCAAUUAGCCAAAGCUUUAAGUGUGACAGACUUUUUUUUGUGGGGAUUCGUUGAUGAUGAAAGCACAUGUUUCUCCAGGAUGGGAGUUCCUGUUCAUUCACAAAGUCAGCAAGACAACUUACAGCCCAAAUUCAACAAGGAACAUGACAAGGAGCUGUGUCUUUUCUCACCACUCCAAUUCCGUUUCUGGAGAGCAACCUUUGCCUCCUAACCCUUUGUGGGGACACGUGCCCAGGGUUGUCCUAGCUGUGCUGAAAGGCAUGGACCAGGGCAGAACUAGGACUUUGCCACAGCCCCCAGCUCCACUACUCCUUCUGCUCAGUGGCACACAAACAUUACUCCCUGGUGAGGAAGCUCAUUUCCCCCCAUAUGCUCUUAAUUUUGGGCAAUAAAUAAAUAAUAUGCCUGGAACA